rnacentral:tRNA from 1 species
GGAGCAUUUGUGAAGUGGUAAUCACGACUGGUUUUCAGCCAGUAAUCAGCAGUUCGAUUCUGCUAUGCUCUA